rnacentral:rRNA from 1 species
CUACCUGGUUGAUCCUGCCAGUAGYCAUAUGC